rnacentral:misc_RNA from 1 species
UAAUAAGUGUUUAUGGCACUUUUUAAAUCCAUAUCCACCUUGUGUGCAAUGUCAGUCGAUCUUCUUCAUGGAGAUCGACCAAACAUCAACCUUUAUCUUUUAACUCUUUGUCUGAAAAAUAUUAUGAAUAAACAAUUCAAAAUA